UACAGAGGGGGCAAGCGUUGUUCGGAAUUACUGGGCGUAAAGGGCGCGUAGGCGGCCUGUUAAGUCGAACGUGAAAUCCCCGGGCUCAACCCGGGAACUGCGUCCGAUACUGGCAGGCUUGAAUCCGGGAGAGGGAUGUGGAAUUCCUGGUGUAGCGGUGAAAUGCGCAGAUAUCAGGAAGAACACCCGUGGCUAAGGCGGCUCUCUAGUACGGUGACUGACGCUGAGACGCGAAAAGCGUGGGGGAGCGAACAGG
rnacentral:rRNA from 1 species